UUGCUGCAGCAGCGGAUAUUCUAAAGACUGGAACGACAUGGAGAAGAUUAGCAUGGCUCCUCUGCAAGGGUGACAUAGACAAUCGUGAAGCGCCCCAUAUUUUU